ACUCCUAGGGAGGCAGCAGUGGGGAAUUUUGGACAAUGGGGGCAACCCUGAUCCAGCCAUGCCGCGUGAGUGAAGAAGGCCUUCGGGUUGUAAAGCUCUUUCGGCCGGGAAGAAAUCGUGGUCUCUAACAUAGGCCAUGGAUGACGGUACCGGACUAAGAAGCACCGGCUAACUACGUGCCAGCAGCCGCGGUAAUAC
rnacentral:rRNA from 1 species